UCAAGAGGGCGGCCAAGCCGGUGGACAUGAACGACAGGGAGUCUCUCGUGAACGCCGUAAGGACGUGUUUGUCGUCCAAGGUGGUGUCCCAGAACAGCGACCUGCUCGCGCCGCUGGCGGUGGAUUCCGUGCUGGGGAUAUUGGGACCG
rnacentral:SRP_RNA from 1 species